UAUAAACUUUAUUUGUGACCAUGUUAACAGUAUAACACAGCUGUUUCAUUUUCCAUUCCAAGCCCACUUUCUACUUCCUGUCACUCUCCAUUUCUCUGUCUUUCCGCUUGGUUUGCUCUCAUCCACAACCCUAUUUGCAGGUGGACCAUUGUGAUCUGUCUAAAUAUUACCUCUCCCUCGUCCCCUGCGCUCCACAGCCCCUGGAGCUCCCAUCCGUCAGGAGGCAGGAACGGCUCUCCCAUGCAGAAGGCCUCGGUCUGUGGCUGAAAUAUUGAUCACACCGGCUCAUGGAAGAGCUGCCACCCAAAGCCCGUUGUGACAAAGACAGAGGCGUCGACGGGGAAUCCAAACAAGUGGCCAUCUCACUCUCCACCAUCUGCGCUCUGAAGACAGCUUUGCAGCGGCCACAAGCAUUCUUCAAACGCUCUUUGGAGGCCGGUUUGGAAAGUUUGUGAUGGUGAUAUCUCUCUGUUUAAAACUCUAAAGACUAAACUUUGAAGCUGAAACUUUUUUGGAAAGGUUUUUAGAAGUUUGAUAUCUUGUUUUUUUUUUUUUUUUUUGUGAACUAAAAGCAAAGUAUUCUAUUCAUGCUCGCUUCUUACUUUAGCGUUGACUUUCUCCAGUACUCAAGAGGGCGCAAGAGUUGCCUUAAAACUAGGCCUGCUAUUCACGGUCAUGUACUUGCAUAGAACAUGUUUCACCAUUUUAUGUGAACGUGAAUAUUCCAUAGAAGUAUUUGAACACUUAAGUCACACUUAAAAAAUCUCUGAGUAUCUCAUUGUGUUAUUUUAGAAUUGUUAUAUGCAGUUGAAGUUUUAAAUAAUAAUUUGGAUUAGCUUUUGUUCAUACGUGUUUUUGUGUGUGUGUGUGUGUGUGUGUGUGUGUGUGUGUGUGUGUGUGUGUGCGUAAUAUUAGUUUUAGUUUUCAUAUUUCUAUUUAGCUUUAAUUUAUUUUUAUUUUUGUACUUAGGCUUACUUCAAUUAGUUUGCCGAGGCAACAGUUCUAAUUUUCAUUUAAAGGGGGGGUGAAAUGCUAUUUCAUGCAUACUGAGUUUUUUACACUGUUAAAGAGUUGGAUUCCCAUGCUAAACAUGGACAAAGUUUCAAAAAUUAAGUUGUACGUUUGAAAGAGUAUUUUUGUUCCAAAAAAUACUCCUUCCGGUUUGUCACAAGUUUCGGAAAGUUUUUUUCGAGU
rnacentral:lncRNA from 1 species